AAACAAACAUAAUUAAAACAAAUAAAUACAAUCACCCGGAAAAAAUGAGGUCAGAUCCGGCGCCGAAGAUCUAGAACGCGAAGCCAACGGCGAGAACACCUGCGACAGCGAUCCAGCUGGCGGCAGCUGCGGAGGCAGCGCUGGGAGGAGUAGUGGGAGAGCCGGCGGGGGCAACGCCAAUGGAGGGAGCGACAGCGCCGGGGGAGGAAGAGGGGGCGCUGGGGGCCGGGGGAGAGGUGACGGGGGCGGAUGAGGGAACAGCGGUGGGCGGUGAGACGGGAGCGACGGUGGGAGGAGAGACGGGGGCGACGAUGGGCGGCGAGACAGGAGCGGGCUUCGGCGGGGG
rnacentral:misc_RNA from 1 species